rnacentral:rRNA from 1 species
GUAAGCUACUAAGAGCGAAUGGUGGAUGCCUUGACUGGUAAAGGCGAUGAAGGACGUACUAGACUGCGAUAAGCUAGGUGGAGCUGUCAAGAAGCUUUGAUGCCUAGAUUUCCGAAUGGGGCAACCCAAUGUAUAGAGAUAUACAUUACCAUAAUGGAGCGAACGAGGGGAAUUGAAACAUCUUAGUACCCUCAGGAAAAGAAAUCAAAAGAGAUUGCGUCAGUAGCGGCGAGCGAAAGCGCAAGAGGGCAAACCCAGUGCUUGCACUGGGGGUUGUAGGACUGCAAUGUGCAAUAGGAAAGGUUAGCAGAACACUCUGGAAAGUGUAGCCAUAGAGGGUGAUAGUCCCGUAUGCGAAAACCUAACCUUAGCUAGCAGUAUCCUGAGUAGGGCGGAACACGAGAAAUUCUGUCUGAAGCUGGGUAGACCACUAUCCAACCCUAAAUACUACUACCAGAUCGAUAGCGAACAAGUACCGUGAGGGAAAGGUGAAAAGAACGGCGGUGAGCCGAGUGAAAUAGAACCUGAAACCAUUUGCUUACAAUCAUUCAGAGCACUAUGUAGCAAUACAGUGUGAUGGACUGCCUUUUGCAUAAUGAGCCUGCGAGUUGUGGUGUCUGGCGAGGUUAAGCACACGCGAAGCCGUAGCGAAAGCAAGUCUUAAUAGGGCGCUUAGUCAGAUGCUGCAGACCCGAAACGAAGUGAUCUAUCCAUGAGCAGGUUGAAGCUAGUGUAAGAACUAGUGGAGGACCGAACCCGCUAGCGUUGAAAAGCUAUGGGAUGACUUGUGGAUAGGGGUGAAAGGCCAAUCAAACUUCGUGAUAGCUGGUUCUCUCCGAAAUAUAUUUAGGUAUAGCGUUGUGUCGUAAUAUAAGGGGGUAGAGCACUGAAUGGGCUAGGGCAUACACCAAUGUACCAAACCCUAUCAAACUCCGAAUACCUUAUGUGUAAUCACAGCAGUCAGGCGGCGAGUGAUAAAAUCCGUCGUCAAGAGGGAAACAACCCAGACUACCCGCUAAGGUCCCCAAAUCUUACUUAAGUGGAAAACGAUGUGAAGUUACUUAAACAACCAGGAGGUUGGCUUAGAAGCAGCCAUCCUUUAAAGAAAGCGUAAUAGCUCACUGGUCUAGUGAUUUUGCGCGGAAAAUAUAACGGGGCUAAAGUAAGUACCGAAGCGGUAGGCUUGUGCUUAAUCAAAUUCUUUAAGAUGAGGGCAAAAACCCUAACGAAUUUAAGAAAGCUAAGAAGCUAGGAAGUUAAAUGCAAAUUUUUGUUUUAAAUUUUAAGUUUUAACUUUUAAAUUUGAAUUGCAAAAAAACUUAACUUUGAAACUUAAAUUUGAAAGAAAAAUAAUUUAAAUUUGAAAUUUCAAAAAAAAUUUCAAAAACAAACUUAAAUUCAAAGCUUCUUUCAAAAAAGUCAAGAAAUGAAGAAGUCAAAAAGAAAAAAUUCCACUAAAGAAUUUGCUUAAGCGCAAGCGGUAGGAGAGCGUUCUAUUUGCGUCGAAGGUAUACCGGCAAGGAGUGCUGGAGCGGAUAGAAGUGAGCAUGCAGGCAUGAGUAGCGAUAAUUAAUGUGAGAAUCAUUAACGCCGUAAACCCAAGGUUUCCUACGCGAUGCUCGUCAUCGUAGGGUUAGUCGGGUCCUAAGCUGAGUCCGAAAGGGGUAAGCGAUGGAAAAUAGGUUAAUAUUCCUAUACCAACAUUAGUGUGCGAUGGAAGGACGCUUAGGGCUAGGGGGGCUAGCGGAUGGAAGUGCUAGUCUAAGGUUGUAGGUGCUUACACAGGCAAAUCCGUGUGAGAAUACACCGAGAACUCAAAGGCUUUUCAAAGUCUUCGGAUAGCGAGAAGAACCCCUGAUGCCGUCGAGCCAAGAAAAGUUUCUAAGUUUAGCUAAUGUUGCCCGUACCGUAAACCGACACAGGUGGGUGGGAUGAGUAUUCUAAGGCGCGUGGAAGAACUCUCUUUAAGGAACUCUGCAAAAUAGCACCGUAUCUUCGGUAUAAGGUGUGCCUCCCUUUGUAUUAGAAUUUACUUCGAAAGCAAAGAAGGUUACAACAAAGAGUCCCUCCCGACUGUUUACCAAAAACACAGCACUCUGCUAACUCGCAAGAGGAUGUAUAGGGUGUGACGCCUGCCCGGUGCUCGAAGGUUAAUUGAUGGGGUUAGCAUUAGCGAAGCUCUUGAUCGAAGCCCGAGUAAACGGCGGCCGUAACUAUAACGGUCCUAAGGUAGCGAAAUUCCUUGUCGGUUAAAUACCGACCUGCAUGAAUGGCGUAACGAGAUGGGAGCUGUCUCAAAGAGGGAUCCAGUGAAAUUGUAGUGGAGGUGAAAAUUCCUCCUACCCGCGGCAAGACGGAAAGACCCCGUGGACCUUUACUACAGCUUGACACUGCUACUUGGAUAAGAAUGUGCAGGAUAGGUGGGAGGCUUUGAGUAUAUGACGCCAGUUGUAUAUGAGCCAUUGUUGAGAUACCACUCUUUCUUAUUUGGGUAGCUAACCAGCUUGAGUUAUCCUCAAGUGGGACAAUGUCUGGUGGGUAGUUUGACUGGGGCGGUCGCCUCCCAAAUAAUAACGGAGGCUUACAAAGGUUGGCUCAAAACGGUUGGAAAUCGUUUGUAGAGUAUAAAGGUAUAAGCCAGCUUAACUGCAAGACAUACAAGUCAAGCAGGGACGAAAGUCGGUCUUAGUGAUCCGGUGGUUCUGUGUGGAAGGGCCAUCGCUCAAAGGAUAAAAGGUACCCCGGGGAUAACAGGCUGAUCUCCCCCAAGAGCUCACAUCGACGGGGAGGUUUGGCACCUCGAUGUCGGCUCAUCGCAUCCUGGGGCUGGAGCAGGUCCCAAGGGUAUGGCUGUUCGCCAUUUAAAGCGGUACGCGAGCUGGGUUCAGAACGUCGUGAGACAGUUCGGUCCCUAUCUGCCGUGGGCGUAAGAAGAUUGAAGAGAUUUGACCCUAGUACGAGAGGACCGGGUUGAACAAACCACUGGUGUAGCUGUUGUUCUGCCAAGAGCAUCGCAGCGUAGCUAAGUUUGGAAAGGAUAAACGCUGAAAGCAUCUAAGCGUGAAGCCAACUCUAAGAUGAAUCUUCUCUAAGCUCUCUAGAAGACGACUAGUUUGAUAGGCUGGGUGUGUAAUAGAUGAAAGUCUUUUAGCUGACCAGUACUAAUAGAGCGUUUGGCUUACUUUU